AAUAAAAUUGAAUGGCCGCGGUAUUUUGACCGUGCAAAGGUAGCAUAAUCGUUAGUUUUUUAAUUGGAAUCUUGUAUGAAUGGUUGGACAAAAAAAAAUCUGUCUUUUUAUUAUUUAUUGAAUUUAACUUUUGAGUGAAAAGGCUUAAAUGUAUUAAAGGGACGAUAAGACCCUAUAAAGCUUUAUAUUGAUAUUUAUUUGAUUAAAUUUGUGUUAAAUAAAAAUUUAGUAAAUAAAUUUAUUUUAUUGGGGCGAUAAAAGUAAAAUUAUUAUUAACUGCUUGAAUUUAAAUACAAUAUAUAAAUGAUUAAAUUUUUGGAUGAUCCUGAUUAAAGAUUAAAAGUUUAAGUUACUUUAGGGAUAACAGCGUUAUUUUUUUUGAGAGUACUUAUCGAAAAAAAAGUUUGCGACCUCGAUGUUGAAUUAAAAUAUCUCUAUAAUUGCAGUAGUUAUAGUAGUAGGUCUGUUCGACCUUUAAAAUUUUA
rnacentral:rRNA from 1 species